rfam:Cavia porcellus supercont2_26 genomic scaffold, whole genome shotgun sequence.
GGGGAUUUAGCUCAGCGGCAUAAGCGCCUGCCUUGCAAGCAGGCAGUUGUGAGUUCAAUUCCCG